rnacentral:rRNA from 1 species
GGGUUGUGAGGUUAAGCGACUAAGCGUACACGGUGGAUGCCCUGGCAGUCAGAGGCGAUGAAGGACGUGCUAAUCUGCGAAAAGCGUCGGUAAGGUGAUAUGAACCGUUAUAACCGGCGAUGUCCGAAUGGGGAAACCCAGUGUGAUUCGUCACACUAUCGUUAACUGAAUACAUAGGUUAACGAGGCGAACCGGGGGAACUGAAACAUCUAAGUACCCCGAGGAAAAGAAAUCAACCGAGAUUCCCCCAGUAGCGGCGAGCGAACGGGGAGCAGCCCAGAGUCUGAAUCAGCUUGUGUGUUAGUGGAACGGUCUGGAAAGUCCGACGGUACAGGGUGAUAGUCCCGUACACCAAAAUGCACAGGCUGUGAACUCGAAGAGUAGGGCGGGACACGUGGUAUCCUGUCUGAAUAUGGGGGGACCAUCCUCCAAGGCUAAAUACUCCUGACUGACCGAUAGUGAACCAGUACCGUGAGGGAAAGGCGAAAAGAACCCCGGCGAGGGGAGUGAAAAAGAACCUGAAACCGUGUACGUACAAGCAGUGGGAGCACCUUCGGGUGUGACUGCGUACCUUUUGUAUAAUGGGUCAGCGACUUAUAUUCUGUAGCAAGGUUAACCGUAUAGGGGAGCCGCAGGGAAACCGAGUCUUAACUGGGCGUUAAGUUGCAGGGUAUAGACCCGAAACCCGGUGAUCUAGCCAUGGGCAGGUUGAAGGUUGGGUAACACUAACUGGAGGACCGAACCGACUAAUGUUGAAAAAUUAGCGGAUGACUUGUGGCUGGGGGUGAAAGGCCAAUCAAACCGGGAGAUAGCUGGUUCUCCCCGAAAGCUAUUUAGGUAGCGCCUCGUGAACUCAUCUUCGGGGGUAGAGCACUGUUUCGGCUAGGGGGUCAUCCCGACUUACCAACCCGAUGCAAACUACGAAUACCGAAGAAUGUUAUCACGGGAGACACACGGCGGGUGCUAACGUCCGUCGUGAAGAGGGAAACAACCCAGACCGCCAGCUAAGGUCCCAAAGUCAUGGUUAAGUGGGAAACGAUGUGGGAAGGCACAGACAGCCAGGAUGUUGGCUUAGAAGCAGCCAUCAUUUAAAGAAAGCGUAAUAGCUCACUGGUCGAGUCGGCCUGCGCGGAAGAUGUAACGGGGCUAAACCAUGCACCGAAGCUGCGGCAGCGACACUAUGUGUUGUUGGGUAGGGGAGCGUUCUGUAAGCCUGCGAAGGUGACCUGUGAGGGUUGCUGGAGGUAUCAGAAGUGCGAAUGCUGACAUAAGUAACGAUAAAGCGGGUGAAAAGCCCGCUCGCCGGAAGACCAAGGGUUCCUGUCCAACGUUAAUCGGGGCAGGGUGAGUCGACCCCUAAGGCGAGGCCGAAAGGCGUAGUCGAUGGGAAACAGGUUAAUAUUCCUGUACUUGGUGUUACUGCGAAGGGGGGACGGAGAAGGCUAUGUUAGCCGGGCGACGGUUGUCCCGGUUUAAGCAUGUAGGCUGAUUGUCCAGGCAAAUCCGGAUAAUCAAGGCUGAGGUGUGAUGACGAGGCACUACGGUGCUGAAGUAACAAAUGCCCUGCUUCCAGGAAAAGCCUCUAAGCAUCAGGUAACAUCAAAUCGUACCCCAAACCGACACAGGUGGUCAGGUAGAGAAUACCAAGGCGCUUGAGAGAACUCGGGUGAAGGAACUAGGCAAAAUGGUGCCGUAACUUCGGGAGAAGGCACGCUGGUGUGUAGGUGAAGUCCCUGCGGAUGGAGCUGAGACCAGUCGAAGAUACCAGCUGGCUGCAACUGUUUAUUAAAAACACAGCACUGUGCAAACACGAAAGUGGACGUAUACGGUGUGACGCCUGCCCGGUGCCGGAAGGUUAAUUGAUGGGGUUAUCCGUAAGGAGAAGCUCUUGAUCGAAGCCCCGGUAAACGGCGGCCGUAACUAUAACGGUCCUAAGGUAGCGAAAUUCCUUGUCGGGUAAGUUCCGACCUGCACGAAUGGCGUAAUGAUGGCCAGGCUGUCUCCACCCGAGACUCAGUGAAAUUGAACUCGCUGUGAAGAUGCAGUGUACCCGCGGCAAGACGGAAAGACCCCGUGAACCUUUACUAUAGCUUGACACUGAACAUUGAGCCUUGAUGUGUAGGAUAGGUGGGAGGCUUUGAAGCGUGGACGCCAGUCUGCGUGGAGCCAACCUUGAAAUACCACCCUUUAAUGUUUGAUGUUCUAACGUUGGCCCCUUACCGGGGUUGCGGACAGUGUCUGGUGGGUAGUUUGACUGGGGCGGUCUCCUCCCAAAGCGUAACGGAGGAGCACGAAGGUUAGCUAAUCCUGGUCGGACAUCAGGAGGUUAGUGCAAUGGCAUAAGCUAGCUUGACUGCGAGCGUGACGGCGCGAGCAGGUGCGAAAGCAGGUCAUAGUGAUCCGGUGGUUCUGAAUGGAAGGGCCAUCGCUCAACGGAUAAAAGGUACUCCGGGGAUAACAGGCUGAUACCGCCCAAGAGUUCAUAUCGACGGCGGUGUUUGGCACCUCGAUGUCGGCUCAUCACAUCCUGGGGCUGAAGUAGGUCCCAAGGGUAUGGCUGUUCGCCAUUUAAAGUGGUACGCGAGCUGGGUUUAGAACGUCGUGAGACAGUUCGGUCCCUAUCUGCCGUGGGCGCUGGAGAAUUGAGGGGGGCUGCUCCUAGUACGAGAGGACCGGAGUGGACGCAUCACUGGUGUUCGGGUUGUCAUGCCAAUGGCACUGCCCGGUAGCUAAAUGCGGAAGAGAUAAGUGCUGAAAGCAUCUAAGCACGAAACUUGCCCCGAGAUGAGUUCUCCCUGAGACUUUAAGUCUCCUGAAGGAACGUUAAAGACGAUGACGUUGAUAGGCCGGGUGUGUAAGCGCAGCGAUGCGUUGAGCUAACCGGUACUAAUGAACCGUGAGGCUUAACCUUACAACGCCGAAG